CUGAUGCAGCGACGCCGCGUGAGGGAUGACGGCCUUCGGGUUGUAAACCUCUUUCAGUAGGGAAGAAGCGAAAGUGACGGUACCUGCAGAAGAAGCACCGGCUAACUACGUGCCAGCAGCCGCGGUAAUACGUAGGGUGCGAGCGUUAUCCGGAAUUAUUGGGCGUAAAGAGCUCGUAGGCGGUUUGUCGCGUCUGUCGUGAAAGUCCGGGGCUUAACCCCGGAUCUGCGGUGGGUACGGGCAGACUAGAGUGCAGUAGGGGAGACUGGAAUUCCUGGUGUAGCGGUGGAAUGCGCAGAUAUCAGGAGGAACACCGAUGGCGAAGGCAGGUCUCUGGGCUGUAACUGACGCUGAGGAGCGAAAGCAUGGGGAGCGAACAGGAUUAGAUACCCCC
rnacentral:rRNA from 1 species